GGCUUCGUGGUGUAGUGGUCAGCACGCUCGACGCGUAACCGAGAGGCCCCUGGUUCGAUUCCCGGCGUAGGCG
rnacentral:tRNA from 1 species